CCUACGGGUGGCAGCAGUGGGGAAUAUUGGGCAAUGGGCGCAAGCCUUACCCAGCAACGCCGCGUGAAGGAAGAAGGCUUUCGUGUUGUAAACUUCUUUUGUCAGGGACGAAGCAAGUGACGGUACCUGACGAAUAAGCCACGGCUAACUCCGUGCCAUCAGCCGCGGUCAUCCGUAGGUGGCAAGCGUUAUACGGAUUUAUUCGGUUUAAAGGGCGUGUAGGCGGGAAGGCAAGUCAGAUGUGAAAACUAUGGGGUCAACCCAUAGCCUGCAUUUGAAACUGUAUUUCUUGAGUGCUGGAGAGGUAAUCGGAAUUCCGUGUGGAGCGGUGAAAUGCGUAGAUAGACGGAGGAACACCAGUGGCGAAGGCGGAUUGCUGGACAGUAACUGACGCUGAGGCGCGAAAGCGUGGGGAGCAAACAGGAGUAGAUACCCCAGUAGUC
rnacentral:rRNA from 1 species